GGGUACAAGCAUACCAACACUAAUGCACUGGAUCCCAUCAAAACUUCGAAGUCAAACGUGCUUGGGCGAGAGUAGUACCAAGAUGGGUGACCUCAUGGGAGGACCUCGUGUUGCACCCC
rnacentral:rRNA from 1 species